GUCUCCGAUGAUGAUCAAAAGAAAAAUUUUCGUUCUUCCGAGGGUGGUGGUGAUGAUCCCCAUCCGUGCGGAAAGCUUAUGGAGACCUGAACUGAGGAGAC